rnacentral:lncRNA from 1 species
UGUUGACGGUCCUUAAGUAUCAAAUUUAAUUAUCAAAUAAACAAAGAAAAGGAUCCAAAUGCAACCAACACCUAGAAUUAGGGUUUGAUCUGACAGAAUUCCACGAGUUUUGUUGUUUAUCUGUUUCCGCAGGGGGUUAUCAGGAAAUAAGGAAGAAAGGCCCACAUGUCGGGAUUACAUAGAGAUAUAAACGCACCGCACGAUUUUACAUCAUCUAGAAGACUCCAGAAGCCACGAGACCGAAGCGGAGGCGAAACUGGGCCAGGCCCAGGGCGCCCGCCCUGGUAGCCUGGGCGCCCGCCCCCCUGUUGGAGCCAAAUCAGGACUCUUUCGCUCGGGAUGUUCCACCGACCUAUUGGAUCAAGGAAAACAUAGUACCACCUCACC